GGCUCAGGACGAACGCUGGCGGCGUGCCUAACACAUGCAAGUCGAGCGGGGACAUGCGACGGAUAGGAAGUUUCGGAUGGAAUUGAAGAUGUAUGUUCUAGCGGCGGACGGGUGAGUAACGCGUGAGCAACCUGUCCUUCACAGGGGGAUAACACAGCGAAAGUUGUACUAAUACCGCAUAAGACCACGUUGGGACAUCCCAAAGGGGUCAAAGGAGCAAUCCGGUGAAGGGUGGGCUCGCGUCCGAUUAGAUAGUUGGUGAGGUAACGGCCCACCAAGUCGACGAUCGGUAGCCGACCUGAGAGGGUGAUCGGCCACAUUGGGACUGAGACACGGCCCAAACUCCUACGGGAGGCAGCAGUGGGGAAUAUUGGGCAAUGGGGGGAACCCUGACCCAGCAACGCCGCGUGAGGGAAGAAGGUUUUCGGAUCGUAAACCUCUGUCCUAUGUGAAGAGUUUGAGACGGUAGCAUAGGAGGAAGCCCCGGCUAACUACGUGCCAGCCGCGGC
rnacentral:rRNA from 1 species